rfam:Clostridiales bacterium CHKCI006 isolate CHKC6 genome assembly, contig: {contig65}
GUCAGAGUAGGCAGACUGCGUCAAGUGCCUUUACAUGGGAUGUCGGUAAAGGACGAAGAUGGUUCAUCGCGGUAGUCUGCUGCAUCCGCUGCG